rnacentral:tRNA from 1 species
GGGGAUGUAGCUCAGUGAGAGAGUGCUUGCCUAGCAUGCAUAAGGCCCUGGGUUCAAUCCACAGCAUGCCAA